GGUCUGUGAUGAAUAGUAAAAGGUCUGAUUAUCCAGGACUUGCACUUCCAUGACCAUUUCUCCCAGCAGUUUCUCACCAGUCACAAUACAGUAAUGGUGUGGCUGGAAGAGUGUUUGCUGACAGUUUGUGAUGUAUUCAGUUCAUGUUAACGUGAAGCAUUAGAGGCAUGACUGAGCUCAGCAUCCAACAAUCUUAACCUGAAGGAGUUUGGGGUCUUGGAUUGUUAUAACUGGACAUGUGAUCUGACUUCUCUGCUGAGACC
rnacentral:snoRNA from 1 species